AAUAUCAACUUGAACUUUGAUGUGAGUAUUUCACUAUCAAUUUGUUUCAACUCAAAUGUACUAUUCUUCAUCAAUUGAAAUAGGAUAGAGUCUAUCUCUGUAGAGAUGAUCAAGACUUCACCAUCCAUAAAUUUGAUCAUAUAACUUGGAUAAUUUGAACUUAUUUCACAAAUUUGAUAGGAAGAAGUCGUAUAUAUAUCCAAGUUAUAUGAACAAAUUUGUGGAUGACAAAGUCUUGAUCAUCUCUACAAAGAUGGACUCCACCCUAUUUCAGUUGGUGAAGAAUAGUCCACUUGAGUGGAAACAAAUUGAUAGUGAAAUUCUCACAUCGAAGUUCAAGUUAAUAUUGAGGUAAGU
rnacentral:pre_miRNA from 1 species